rnacentral:misc_RNA from 1 species
AACAUCGCGCACCUGCGGGAACCUGCGGAGGGAUCAUUAAUGGUUGGUGGCUGUUGCUGACUAGUGUUUCUAGUAUGUGCACGCCACACCUUCAAUCCCACUUACACCUGUGCACCUUCUGUAAUAGAUCUAUGUGGAUACGGAGAUAUGAAAGUUUGCGCUCUCGUACUCUGUUGAAGCAGUCUACUACGUUUUUUUACACACACACAAUAGUCAUUGAAUGUAUUUUUUAUUCUUAUG